GAUGAACGCUGGCGGCGUGCCUAAUACAUGCAAGUCGAGCGAACAGACGUUUAUCUUUUUCCUCUCUCGUUAGCGCCUGACGGGUGCGUAACCCUUGCAUAACCUUCCUCUUUUUCUUGGAUUACUUCGUCAACCCGUUUCUAAUACCACCUCAUAUAUUCUACCGCUUGGUUCAAUAGUUCUUCACGCUUUUUCUGUCUCUUUUAGAUGUUUCCGCGCCGCUUUAGCUAGUUGGUAAGGUAACGGCUUACCAAGGCAACGAUGCUUAGCCGAACUGAGAGGGGGAUCGGCGACACUGGAAGUGAGACACGGUCCAGACUACUACGGGAGGCAGCAGUAGGGAAUAUUGGGAAAUGGGCGAAAGCAUGAAGGAGCAAGGCCGCGUGAGUGAAGAAGGUCUUCGGAUGGUAAAACACUGUUAUUAGGGAAGAAAAAAAGUGGAAGAAAAAAAGGACGUAAUGACGGUAACUAAAGAAAAAGCAACGGCUAACUACGUG
rnacentral:rRNA from 1 species